rnacentral:rRNA from 1 species
UACGGAGGAUGCGAGCGUUAUCCGGAUCUAUUGGGUUUAAAGGGUGCGUAGGCGGUCCGGAAAGUCAGCGGUAAAAGCCCGGGGCUCAACCCCGGCGAGCCGUUGAAACUGUCGGACUAGAGACGGCGAGAAGUACGCGGAAUGCGCGGUGUAGCGGUGAAAUGCAUAGAUAUCGCGCAGAACUCCGAUUGCGAAGGCAGCGUACCGGCGCCGGACUGACGCUGAGGCACGAAAGCGUGGGUAUCGAACAGG